rnacentral:lncRNA from 1 species
UAGCUAAAAAAGGAUCUUUUUUAUACACACUUGUCUCUUUCUUAUCCACACUGUUAUGCCUAUUUCAUACAAACUUGUUUUAUGAGCAGGUGAGGGACUGAAAAAUAAGCCGCAAUCAAAACCAUGCACUGAGUGUAAAUAUUUGUAGGAACAAUCCUUGAAUGAUAAAUCAUAUGCAAAACAGAGACUGUCAAUCUGUUUAAUUAAAUGGAUGCACAGCCAUCCAUCUAUUGCUGUCUUUGCUACCCGUAUUAAUUGCAAGUAUUUAUAAACCGAACCCUGUGCCCUUCCCGUUUUCCCUUUCUCAACUAUCUAUCUAGUGCGGCACCAUGUAUUCCAUCUCUAGCCAUGUAUUCCAUCUCUAGCCGACUGAAUCCGUCAACCACUAUUUUGUCUCCUGGUGACCUUGUCAACCAGAUCAAGCCCCACCAACCGCCUGUCUCAUCCCAGGUGGGUACCAUGCAGCCUUUUUCUUCAAUCUUCUCCCCCUUUCUUCUCCUCCUUCGCCCUCUUCCCUCCCUUUAGGGUUUAUUCAAGACUUCCACCUUCCCUUCUUGUUCUUUAUCGAACUUCUCAAUUUCUUGUACAGCCUGGUGAGAUGGUAUUGUAACGUGUCAAAGUCGUAUAUCUUGUAUCCACACCUGUGUCAUCUUGUGUUGACAUGAGUACAUUGGGUAUGGAGGUGAGUCCAGUU